rnacentral:rRNA from 1 species
UACGUAGGGAGCAAGCGUUGUCCGGAAUCAUUGGGCGUAAAGCGCGCGUAGGUGGCCUCAUAAGUCCGCUGUGAAAGUCAAAGGCUCAACCUUUGAAAGCCGGUGGAUACUGUGAGGCUAGAGUACGGAAGAGGCGAGUGGAAUUCCUGGUGUAGCGGUGGAAUGCGCAGAUAUCAGGAAGAACACCGGUGGGGAAGGCGGCUCUCUGGGCCUUACCUGACGCUGAGGAGCGAAAGCGUGGGUAGCGAACAGG